AGUUCGGCUUCAAAUGGACGAACGGUUCAUUGGAGCAGAUCUGAUUUACUUGGGAAAAUCCACUUGCGUAACUGAGGUAAUUCUGGUGCUAAUGCACGCGACUAAACCGCGACUCUUGAAAAGAUGCAAUUAUUGCAGUAAAUCAAUCAUUUUCGGGUGUACCACCACUCUACGAGUGUUGUAGUAAAGCGGUCAUCAUAGAGUAAUAAAAGCGGACUUCAGUUCUAUUUAUUGGCUCGGAAACUGAAGUGAUGGUAAAGAGGGACAAUUCGGCUAGAUCUGUAUCCCUGCACAGGAGGAGAAAUUCGUGCACAGCAAGGAGACGGCCUAAAGCGAAUGCAUUUGUCAGAAAUGCAUUCAUUGAACAAGAGCGAGAGUCAGGGUACGAAGACAAUUAGAUACCGCCUUAGUUCUAAUCGCAUAUUGUGCAAUCUAACUAUUCGAUGUGGUAUUGCUGUUCUGUAGAGGUGGCUGCCGGAAACGGAAAUGUUUCGAAU
rnacentral:ncRNA from 1 species